CACACUAUCAUUAACUGAAUCCAUAGGUUAAUGAGGCGAACCGGGGGAACUGAAACAUCUAAGUACCCCGAGGAAAAGAAAUCAACCGAGAUUCCCCCAGUAGCGGCGAGCGAACGGGGAGGAGCCCAGAGCCUGAAUCAGUGUGUGUGUUAGUGGAAGCGUCUGGAAAGGCGCGCGAUACAGGGUGACAGCCCCGUACACAAAAAUGCACAUAUUGUGAGCUCGAUGAGUAGGGCGGGACACGUGGUAUCCUGUCUGAAUAUGGGGGGACCAUCCUCCAAGGCUAAAUACUCCUGACUGACCGAUAGUGAACCAGUACCGUGAGGGAAAGGCGAAAAGAACCCCGGCGAGGGGAGUGAAAAAGAACCUGAAACCGUGUACGUACAAGCAGUGGGAGCACGCUUAGGCGUGUGACUGCGUACCUUUUGUAUAAUGGGUCAGCGACUUAUAUUCUGUAGCAAGGUUAACCGAAUAGGGGAGCCGAAGGGAAACCGAGUCUUAACUGGGCGUUAAGUUGCAGGGUAUAGACCCGAAACCCGGUGAUCUAGCCAUGGGCAGGUUGAAGGUUGGGUAACACUAACUGGAGGACCGAACCGACUAAUGUUGAAAAAUUAGCGGAUGACUUGUGGCUGGGGGUGAAAGGCCAAUCAAACCGGGAGAUAGCUGGUUCUCCCCGAAAGCUAUUUAGGUAGCGCCUCGUGAAUUCAUCUCCGGGGGUAGAGCACUGUUUCGGCAAGGGGGUCAUCCCGACUUACCAACCCGAUGCAAACUGCGAAUACCGGAGAAUGUUAUCACGGGAGACACACGGCGGGUGCUAACGUCCGUCGUGAAGAGGGAAACAACCCAGACCGCCAGCUAAGGUCCCAAAGUCAUGGUUAAGUGGGAAACGAUGUGGGAAGGCCCAGACAGCCAGGAUGUUGGCUUAGAAGCAGCCAUCAUUUAAAGAAAGCGUAAUAGCUCACUGGUCGAGUCGGCCUGCGCGGAAGAUGUAACGGGGCUAAACCAUGCACCGAAGCUGCGGCAGCGACGCUGAUGCGUUGUUGGGUAGGGGAGCGUUCUGUAAGCCUGCGAAGGUGUGCUGUGAGGCAUGCUGGAGGUAUCAGAAGUGCGAAUGCUGACAUAAGUAACGAUAAAGCGGGUGAAAAGCCCGCUCGCCGGAAGACCAAGGGUUCCUGUCCAACGUUAAUCGGGGCAGGGUGAGUCGACCCCUAAGGCGAGGCCGAAAGGCGUAGUCGAUGGGAAACAGGUUAAUAUUCCUGUACUUGGUGUUACUGCGAAGGGGGGACGGAGAAGGCUAUGUUGGCCGGGCGACGGUUGUCCCGGUUUAAGCGUGUAGGCUGGUUUUCCAGGCAAAUCCGGAAAAUCAAGGCUGAGGCGUGAUGACGAGGCACUACGGUGCUGAAGCAACAAAUGCCCUGCUUCCAGGAAAAGCCUCUAAGCAUCAGGUAACAUCAAAUCGUACCCCAAACCGACACAGGUGGUCAGGUAGAGAAUACCAAGGCGCUUGAGAGAACUCGGGUGAAGGAACUAGGCAAAAUGGUGCCGUAACUUCGGGAGAAGGCACGCUGAUAUGUAGGUGAAGUCCCUCGCGGAUGGAGCUGAAAUCAGUCGAAGAUACCAGCUGGCUGCAACUGUUUAUUAAAAACACAGCACUGUGCAAACACGAAAGUGGACGUAUACGGUGUGACGCCUGCCCGGUGCCGGAAGGUUAAUUGAUGGGGUUAGCCGCAAGGCGAAGCUCUUGAUCGAAGCCCCGGUAAACGGCGGCCGUAACUAUAACGGUCCUAAGGUAGCGAAAUUCCUUGUCGGGUAAGUUCCGACCUGCACGAAUGGCGUAAUGAUGGCCAGGCUGUCUCCACCCGAGACUCAGUGAAAUUGAACUCGCUGUGAAGAUGCAGUGUACCCGCGGCAAGACGGAAAGACCCCGUGAACCUUUACUAUAGCUUGACACUGAACAUUGAGCCUUGAUGUGUAGGAUAGGUGGGAGGCUUUGAAGUGUGGACGCCAGUCUGCAUGGAGCCGACCUUGAAAUACCACCCUUUAAUGUUUGAUGUUCUAACGUUGACCCGUAAUCCGGGUUGCGGACAGUGUCUGGUGGGUAGUUUGACUGGGGCGGUCUCCUCCUAAAGAGUAACGGAGGAGCACGAAGGUUGGCUAAUCCUGGUCGGACAUCAGGAGGUUAGUGCAAUGGCAUAAGCCAGCUUGACUGCGAGCGUGACGGCGCGAGCAGGUGCGAAAGCAGGUCAUAGUGAUCCGGUGGUUCUGAAUGGAAGGGCCAUCGCUCAACGGAUAAAAGGUACUCCGGGGAUAACAGGCUGAUACCGCCCAAGAGUUCAUAUCGACGGCGGUGUUUGGCACCUCGAUGUCGGCUCAUCACAUCCUGGGGCUGAAGUAGGUCCCAAGGGUAUGGCUGUUCGCCAUUUAAAGUGGUACGCGAGCUGGGUUUAGAACGUCGUGAGACAGUUCGGUCCCUAUCUGCCGUGGGCGCUGGAGAACUGAGGGGGGCUGCUCCUAGUACGAGAGGACCGGAGUGGACGCAUCACUGGUGUUCGGGUUGUCAUGCCAAUGGCACUGCCCGGUAGCUAAAUGCGGAAGAGAUAAGUGCUGAAAGCAUCUAAGCACGAAACUUGCCCCGAGAUGAGUUCUCCCUGACUCCUUGAGAGUCCUGAAGGAACGUUGAAGACGACGACGUUGAUAGGCCGGGUGUGUAAGCGCAGCGAUGCGUUGAGCUAACCGGUACUAAUGAACCGUGAGGACUAAC
rnacentral:rRNA from 1 species